UUAGAGACAGCAGUCGCCGCGGUAAUACGUAGGUGGCGAGCGUUGUCCGGAAUUAUUGGGCGUAAAGGGAGCGCAGGCGGACAUAUAAGUCCAUCUUAAAAGUGCGGGGCUCAACCCCGUGAGGGGAUGGAAACUGUAUGCCUUGAGUGCAGGAGAGGAAAGCGGAAUUCCCAGUGUAGCGGUGAAAUGCGUAGAUAUUGGGAGGAACACCAGUGGCGAAGGCGGCUUUCUGGACUGUAACUGACGCUGAGGCUCGAAAGCCAGGGGAGCGAACGGGAUUAGAUACCCCUGUAGUCCCUGUCUCUUAUACA
rnacentral:rRNA from 1 species